rnacentral:lncRNA from 1 species
GUCUUUGUGAGGGCCUCACCCAUGGCACAUGGAGGUUCCAAGGCUAGGGGUCCAAUCGGAACUGUAGCCACCAGCCUACACCACAGCCAGCCACACCAGAUCUGAGCUGCAUCUGUGACCUACACCACAGCUCACGGCAACGCCAGAUCCUUAACCCACUGAGCAAGGCCAGGGAUCGAACCCGCAACGUCAUGGUUCCUGGUCGGAUUCGUUUCCACUGUGCCACGACAGGAACUCCACCACUAAUUUUUUUAAUGGCUUUACAAGUUACAGAAUACUUCUACAUACAACAUUAAGGACAUGAAAGAAGGAAAGGAGGUAAUAUUUAUUGAGUAUUUACUACAUGCCAUUUGCCAAGAGAUUUACCUCAAAUGCAUUCGUCCAUUUAGAUCUUGGAGAAUCUCCACAGGAGAGUUAUUUUCCUCUAUUUAUAGAUGAGGAAACAAGCUUAUAGAUGCUAGGUAGCUUUCCCAAGAAAUAUGGUUUACCACCUUGACUUCAAGUUUUACUGCUCUUUGUCCCACACCAAAGCUGCCAGUGAGACACUGAUCUUCUGCACUUGAAGAUGAAAACAGCAAUUACAUUCCAUGAGUCAGGAUUAGCUAUCUCCUUAGAGGCCCAGGUCAUUUUUUGGGCCACGCCCAUGGCAUGUGGAAGUUCCCAGGCCAGGGAUGGAACCCAAGCACAGGAGUGACAACCACUGUCCACCAGGGAACCCCCCCGAUCAUUUUUUUAUGGGGGUGCCACACUUUGCCAUUUUACAAUUUAAGAGACUGUGCCCAAAUCACCAAGUUGCAGACACGUCGCAUUGUUAAAAGAAAGUCAUUUCAGUGUUCUGCCACAGACGAGUUAAAACAGCCAGAUCAACAGACACUCUCUCUGGGUCAGUAACUUACAUUAUCUCUCUGGCUGGUCUGUAAUAUUAGAGGGCAGGUGAGUAACGGGAUAGCUGAGGUAGCAGAUGUUAGUGGUGAUUUGCAGCAAUGGAGAGGCUUCAUCGCAGCCACAUGGACAAUUGAACAUUAACUAUCAGACACUUCUUUUUUUUUUUUCUUUUCUUUCUUCCUUCCUACCUUUCUCUCUCUCUCUCUCUCUCUUUCUCUCUCUCUCUUCCUUCCUUCCUUCCUUCCUUCCCUUCCUUCCUUCCUUCCUUUUCUUUCUUUCUUUCCGGGCAGGGGAGGGGUACAGGUGCAGCAUAUGGAAAUUCCCAGGCUUGGGUUGGAAUGGGCGCUGCAGCUGCCAGCGAAUGCCACAGCCACAGCAACUUGGGAUCUGAACCGCAUCUGUAACCUACACCACAGCUUGUGCCACGACAGAUCCUUAACCCACUGAGCAAGGUGAGAGAUCAUACCUGCAGCCUCAUGGAUACUAGCUGGCUUCGUUUCUGCUGAGCCACAAUGGGAACUCUCAUUUACCUCUCUUCUUAGAAGUUCUUUGGCUACAGCAUCUUAGAAUGCAUCCCAUUCUUUCUGGCCAUCGUUCCCCAGGCUUCACUCUGUCAUCGGCUUACUCAGUCCUGUCCUUCAGCCAUCACCUCUUAUUCCCUAAUACUCUAGAUUCAUUCACCCUUAGCACUCCCCUAGAGUCCCUUUAUUUACAGGGCAGAAUGAUUAGCUCUCCACUCCUUCCUCGGGUUGGGGUCCACCUCUGUGAAUUCAAAGAGGCAUCUAUCAUUCUUCUGAAUGAAAAUCCAUCUCCGGAAUUCCCAUCAUGGCUCAGCGGAAACAAAUCCGACUAGGAACCAUGAGGUUGCAGGUUAGAUCCCUGGCCUCGCUCAGUGGGUCAAGGAUCUGGCAUUGCUGUGAGCUGCAGUGUAGGCCACAGACGCAGCUCAGAUCCUGCAUUGCUGUGGCUGUGGUACAGGCCGAGAGCUGUAGCUCCAGUUUGACCCUAGCUUGAGAACCUCCAUAUGCCGCACCCACGGGCGUAAAACGCAAAAAAAGAAAAAAAAAUAAGGAAAAAAAGAAAAUCCAUCUCCGUGGGAGCUCACCCCUGUGUAACUCAGAAGAACUGGCAGACACUGAAGUUUCUGUCUUUCCUGUGUCAACACCACCCCCAUUGUCUUCCUCCCCAGCUGUGUAAGAGAAGAGUUCAACAUAAUUUGUUUUCCCAUUGAUAAGAAUUAUCUAGCCACCCCCAUACGUGUCUUGAAAGGAAGCAGUGUUUAGUCAGUUCAGAUAUUUUUUUAAAUACUUUGUAUCAGAGUUCCCAUUGUGGCUCAGUGGUAACCAACCCAACUAGUAUCCCUGAGGAUGGAGUUUCAAUCCCCGGGCCUUGAUCAGUUGGUUAUGGAUCUGGUGUUGCCAUGAGCUGUGGUUCAGGUUGCAGACAUGGCUUGGAUCUGGCAUUGCUGUAGCUGUAGGGUAGGUGAGAAGCUGCAGCUCCUAGCAGACCCCUAGCCUGGGAACUUCCAUAUGUUGUGGGUAUAGCCCUUAAAAACAUAAGCAAACAAACAAAUAAAAAAACUAGAAAAAAGAGAAGCCGGGUCAAACAUACUUGGGCUUAUUUCCACAGCUUUGGAACAGCACUUGUAAAGGGAAGAGUAAGCAUGCCCACCCUCAUCACACAGAAAGCUGUCGCUCACUAGGGUUCGUUUUUUCAUUAAAGUUCUUAGUGGGAGUUCCCACCGUGGCUCAGCGGAAACGAACCAGACUAGGAUCCAUGAGGGUUUGGGUUCAAUCUCUGGCCUUGCUCAGUGGGUUAAGGAUCCAGUGUUGCUGUGAACUGUGGUGUAGGACACAGACUUGGCUCAGAUAAACAGAACAUUACAAGCUUUCCAGAAGCCUCUUUGUUCUCUCUACCAAUCAGGGUAAUUUUUUUUUCUAAUGACAGCGUUUGUACAUGCCAGCAUAUGCUCUCUGAACCAAGAGCCUUUCAGUGAGUAACUUGGUUUUAUUACUGCGUUGCAUUCAAUGGGAAGUUCACACAUGAAUCAGAAUGGCUCCUAUGAUUUGGACGCAAGUCAUUGAAUGUGGAGUGACUGUGUUCAUGUUGUGGUUUAAAGGGUCCAGGAGGGGAGACGGACCCCCCCCCCCCCAAGUCCUCUUUCUGGGAUUUCCCAGAGCCUGGCAAUUUUCCUGGGUGGGGGUCUCUCCUAGUCACCCAAGAACUCUCAAGUUUCUUUGAGUGCCAUGGGCACUAUCUAUCCUGAGAAAGGAAUAUACUCUCCCAGCAGUGCUCACACACGUAUUGCAUGCGAAAUGAUUGCUCCUGGAAUCACAAACACCAUCACUUUACACCAUCUCAAUACACGUGAGACCCUGACUCAUAGAAUUCUCUACCCCAGUGGAGGUCAUCUCUGCCAACCCAAGAGAAGAUCUGAAGGACUAUACCCCUCAUCGCACCACAACAAACACAAAAACUCAUGCCUACCCUAAAUAAGAGCCUCAGAA